rnacentral:rRNA from 1 species
AUUGAACGCUGGCGGCAGGCUUAACACAUGCAAGUCGAACGCUCCGCAAGGAGAGUGGCAGACGGGUGAGUAACGCGUGGGAACGUACCUUUCAGUGCGGAAUAAUUCAGGGAAACUUGUGCUAAUACCGGAUACGCCCGUAAGGGGAAAGAUUUAUCGCUGAAAGAUCGGCCCGCGUUGGAUUAGCUAGUUGGUGGGGUAAUGGCCUACCAAGGCGACGAUCCAUAGCUGGUCUGAGAGGAUGAUCAGCCACACGGGGACUGAGACACGGCCCAGACUCCUACGGGAGGCAGCAGUGGGGAAUAUUGGACAAUGGGCGAAAGCCUGAUCCAGCCAUGCAGCGUGAGUGAUGAAGGCCCUAGGGUUGUAAAGCUCUUUCACCGAUGAAGAUAAUGACGGUAGUCGGAGAAGAAGCCCCGGCUAACUUCGUGCCAGCCGCCGCAGUAA